UACGUAGGGUGCGAGCGUUAAUCGGAAUUACUGGGCGUAAAGUGUGCGCAGGCGGCCGCGCAAGUCGAGUGUGAAAGCCCCGGGCUUAACUUGGGAAUUGCGCUCGAAACUACGUGGCUGGAGUGUGGCAGAGGAAGGUGGAAUUCCAGGUGUAGCGGUGAAAUGCGUAGAGAUCGGGAGGAACACCAGAGGCGAAGGCGGCUCGCUGGACGAUGACUGACACUCAACUGCGAAAGCGUGGGGAGCAAACAGG
rnacentral:rRNA from 1 species